rnacentral:rRNA from 1 species
AUGUGGCGUCAUCAAGGAAUCCAAAUACCUGAGCAAGCAGCCUCCAAACUAGCGACACUAGAAUAUAAUGAUAGUCAAUCAGACAUCAUUAGAGCAGCAACGAAGGAAGCUAGGCGGAAAAGGAAAGAGAUUGUCCAAAUGAAAAAGAGAAACAAACGACUAAGGACAGAAAAGGACAAUGACUGUGAAGUAUCUAAUGUAGCGAAGGAUGUCACUCAAGUUUCAUAUUUGGGAAAACCAAAUUGUGUUUGUGAAUUUUGCAAUGCCAUUAUGUGGCAUGGAGAGAGAAGCACAAACACAGGUAACAUCACAGUUCCAAAAUUUGGUCUCUGCUGCAAGGAAGGGAAAGUUAAAUUACCACCACUGAAACAAGCUCCGCUGUAUCUCCGGCAGCUACUACGUUACAAUGAAAGAGGACAAUCAUCAAAUUUCCGCCAAAACAUCAGGUUGUACAACUCGAUGUUCGCAUUCACUUCAAUGGGAGGAAAGGUUGACUAUGAAAUUAAUAAGCAGGCAUCUGGACCAUAUGUUUUCUGUUUGAAUGGCCAGAAUUACCAUCAGAUUGGCACUUUACUUCCUUAA